rnacentral:rRNA from 1 species
GACGAACGCUGGCGGCGUGCCUAAUACAUGCAAGUCGAACGCUUUUUCUUUCACCGGAGCUUGCUCCAUCGAAAGAAAAAGAGUGGCGAACGGGUGAGUAACACGUGGGUAACCUGCCCAUCAGAAGGGGAUAACACUUGGAAACAGGUGCUAAUACCGUAUAACACUAUUUUCCGCAUGGAAGAAAGUUGAAAGGCGCUUUUGCGUCACUGAUGGAUGGACCCGCGGUGCAUUAGCUAGUUGGUGAGGUAACGGCUCACCAAGGCAACGAUGCAUAGCAGACCUGAGAGGGUGAUCGGCCACACUGGGACUGAGACACGGCCCAGACUCCUACGGGAGGCAGCAGUAGGGAAUCUUCGGCAAUGGACGAAAGUCUGACCGAGCAACGCCGCGUGAGUGAAGAAGGUUUUCGGAUCGUAAAACUCUGUUGUUAGAGAAGAACAAGGAUGAGAGUAAAAUGUUCAUCCCUUGACGGUAUCUAACCAGAAAGCCACGGCUAACUACGUGCCAGCCGCCGCGGUAA